UACGUAGGGGGCAAGCGUUGUCCGGAUUUAUUGGACGUAAAGGGCGCGUAGGCGGUCGACCAAGUCUGGGGUGAAAUCUUUCGGCUCAACCGGAAAAGUGCCCCCGAUACUGGCCGGCUAGAGGGAGAUAGGGGCAUGCGGAACUUCCGGUGGAGCGGUGAAAUGCGUAGAUAUCGGAAGGAACGCCGGUGGCGAAAGCGGCGUGCUGGAUCUCUUCUGACGCUGAGGCGCGAAAGCCAGGGGAGCAAACGGG
rnacentral:rRNA from 1 species